AGGCGAGAGCCGCGGCUGACAGGGUCUGGGACAGAAGGAAAGCCCUCCAGCCUCCAGGCCCUGCCUUCUGCCUGCACAUUCUGCCCUGAUUUCCGGAACCUGGAAGCCUAGGCAGGCAGUGGGGAACUCUGACUCGCCUGUGCUCUGGAGCUUGAUCCGAAAGCUUCCACAGUGAGGACUGCUCCGUGGGGGUAAGAGAGCACCAGGCACUGAGGCCUGGGAGUUCCACAGACCAACACCCCUGCUCCUGGCGGCUCCCACCCGGGACUUAGACCCUCAGGUCCCUAAUAUCCCGGAGGUGCUCUCAAUCAGAAAGGUCCUGCUCCGCUUCGCAGUGGAAUGGAACGGAUUUAGAAGCCUGCAGUAGGGGAGUGGGGAGUGGAGAGAGGGAGCCCAGAGUUACAGACGGCGGCGAGAGGAAGGAGGGGCGUCUUUAUUUUUUUAAGGCCCCAAAGAGUCUGAUGUUUACAAGACCAGAAAUGCCACGGCCGCGUCCUGGCAGAGAAAAGGCUGAAAUGGAGGACCGGCGCCUUCCUUAUAAGCUCGUUGGGGCCUAAGCCAGUACCGACCUGGUAGAAAAAGCAACCACGAAGCUAGAGAGAGAGCCAGAGGAGGGAAGAGAGCGCCAGACGAAGGUGAAAGCGAACCACGCAGAGAAAUGCAGGCAAGGGAGCAAGGCGGCAGUUCCCGGAACAAACGUGGCAGAGGGCAAGACGGGCACUCACAGACAGAGGUUUAUGUAUUUUUAUUUUUUAAAAUCUGAUUUGGUGUUCCAUGAGGAAAAGGGAAAAUCUAGGGAACGGGAGUACAGAGAGAAUAAUCCGGGUCCUAGCUCGCCACAUGAACGCCCAGAGAACGCUGGAAAAACCUGAGCGGGUGCCGGGGCAGCACCCGGCUCGGGUCAGCCACUGCCCCACA
rnacentral:lncRNA from 1 species